AAGAUGACAUUCUGGGAGUGAUGGAACAAGAGAACGGGCUAAUGUGAUGAUACCAAGAUCAGAAAUGUUAGGACAGAUGCAAGAGGUGUUUGGAGGCAGCAGUGCCCAGCGAUAAAAAUAAAGAUCACACAUAUGAGAUUCAUAUAUAAUCUGGAAAAUUCUAGAAGAUAUACUUUGAAAAGAGAAGAAUAAACAGGCAACAAGACCAGCCAGGCAGCUCAGUGAGUCAAGGUGCCCACUGUACAAGUGUGAAGACUUUAGUUCUGGCGCCAGAACCCAAGUAAAGGUGGGAAAAGAGGAUCAACUUCACAAAGUUUCCCCCUGACCUCCACACAUGUUCUGUGUUAUGUGCACCCAUCAUAGCCACCCCCUUGAUGAUAAAUAAACAGGAAGUCAGAAGAGGAACCGGAUUGGCAGGCGCCCGGGGCAUUAAAUAAGUGGCUCUUCUCGGUGGCUUGUGAAGGAGACACCCAAGGCAUCGCCGUGACAACUAAGUAAUUCUUAUUUUUCAAAAGCCCUGUGUUGGCUUAAGCUCCGCACACAGUCUGUCUGAAUGUGGUUUGUGGCGGGCCAGGUAAUGAAUAAGCAGGCCUGCUAGAAUGACUCCACCCUGAGAAGAAACCCAAGACGUCCAUUCAUAUAAAAGGCCAAGGAAACAACUAUAAAUAAACUCACAGGUGCUGAAGAUA
rnacentral:lncRNA from 1 species